UACGUAGGGUGCGAGCGUUACUCGGAAUUACUGGGCGUAAAGCGUGCGCAGGCGGUUUUGUAAGCCAGAUGUGAAAUCCCCGGGCUUAACCUGGGAAUGGCAUUUGGGACUGCAAGGCUCGAGUGCGGCAGAGGAGACUGGAAUUCCUGGUGUAGCAGUGAAAUGCGUAGAUAUCAGGAGGAACACCGAUGGCGAAGGCGGAUCUCUGGGCCUGAUCUGACGCUGAGGCGCGAAAGCUAGGGGAGCGAACAGG
rnacentral:rRNA from 1 species